rnacentral:rRNA from 1 species
GAUGAACGCUAGCUACAGGCUUAACACAUGCAAGUCGAGGGGUAACGAGAGGGAAGCUUGCUUUCCUUGUCGACGACCGGCGCACGGGUGAGUAACGCGUAUCCAACCUGCCCCCAACUAAGGAAUAACCUUGCGAAAGUAAGACUAAUACCUUAUAAUUUCCUCAGAUGACAUCUGACGAGGAAUAAAGAUUUAUCGGUUGUGGAUGGGGAUGCGUCGUGAUUGGCUUGUUGGCGGGGUAACGGCCCACCAAGGCAACGAUCAGUAGGGGUUCUGAGAGGAAGGUCCGCCACAUUGGAACUGAGACACGGUCCAAACGCCUACGGGAGGCAGCAGUGAGGAAUAUUGGUCAAUGGGCGGAAGCCUGAACCAGCCAAUUAGCGUGCAGGAUGACGGCCCUAUGGGUUGUAAACUGCUUUUAUACAGGAAUAAAGUUAGCCACGUGUGGUUAUUUGUAGGUACUGUAUGAAUAAGGACCGGCUAAUUCCGUGCCAGCCGCCGCCGUAA